GAUAAUCCAGAAAAGUUCCAGAGGCAGCAGAGCGUUAAAUCAAAAAAGAUGCCCGAAUGGACGAAAGACUUAAAAAAAUACAUAAGAAUCCUGUCAUCAAAGUACCCACGGAAUGCAAUGCUCAACCAUAUCAAACCUGUGAUCAAAGUUUUGGAACGCACUUACAAAGUGAAAAUAAAAGAUAUUGACGUUGACAAACGAGGUA